CGUACCUUUUGUAUAAUGGGUCAGCGACUUAUAUUCUGUAGCAAGGUUAACCGAAUAGGGGAGCCGAAGGGAAACCGAGUCUUAACUGGGCGUUAAGUUGCAGGGUAUAGACCCGAAACCCGGUGAUCUAGCCAUGGGCAGGUUGAAGGUUGGGUAACACUAACUGGAGGACCGAACCGACUAAUGUUGAAAAAUUAGCGGAUGACUUGUGGCUGGGGGUGAAAGGCCAAUCAAACCGGGAGAUAGCUGGUUCUCCCCGAAAGCUAUUUAGGUAGCGCCUCGUGAAUUCAUCUCCGGGGGUAGAGCACUGUUUCGGCAAGGGGGUCAUCCCGACUUACCAACCCGAUGCAAACUGCGAAUACCGGAGAAUGUUAUCACGGGAGACACACGGCGGGUGCUAACGUCCGUCGUGAAGAGGGAAACAACCCAGACCGCCAGCUAAGGUCCCAAAGUCAUGGUUAAGUGGGAAACGAUGUGGGAAGGCCCAGACAGCCAGGAUGUUGGCUUAGAAGCAGCCAUCAUUUAAAGAAAGCGUAAUAGCUCACUGGUCGAGUCGGCCUGCGCGGAAGAUGUAACGGGGCUAAACCAUGCACCGAAGCUGCGGCAGCGACACUAUGUGUUGUUGGGUAGGGGAGCGUUCUGUAAGCCUGUGAAGGUGUGCUGUGAGGCAUGCUGGAGGUAUCAGAAGUGCGAAUGCUGACAUAAGUAACGAUAAAGCGGGUGAAAAGCCCGCUCGCCGGAAGACCAAGGGUUCCUGUCCAACGUUAAUCGGGGCAGGGUGAGUCGACCCCUAAGGCGA
rnacentral:rRNA from 1 species